GCCUGGCUGGCUCAGUCGGUUGAGUGCCUGACUUCAACUCAGGUCACGAUCUCACGGUUCAUGGGUUCAGGCCCUGUAUCGGGCU
rnacentral:tRNA from 1 species